AACGAACGCUGGCGGCGUGUUUAAGACAUGCAAGUCGCACGGGAUCAUUUUGGUAGCAAUACUCGAAUGGUUUAGUGGCGCACGGGUGAGUAACAUGUGAAUGACAUGCCCUAUAGUGGGGAAUAGCCCAGGGAAACUUGGAUUAAUACCCCAUGGUCUCGCAAGAGUAAAGGUGGCCGCAAGGCUGUCGCUAUAGGAUUGGUUCGCACCCUAUCGGCUUGUUGGUGAGGUAACGGCUCACCAAGGCUACGACGGGUACCUGGUCGGAGAGGACGAUCAGGCACACUGGAACUGAGACACGGUCCAGACACCUACGGGUGGCAGCAGUCGAGAAUAAUUCACAAUGGGGGCAACCCUGAUGGUGCAACGCCGCGUGGAGGAUGAAGGUCUUCGGAUUGUAAACUCCUGUCAUCUGGGAGUAAGACCUGGCCGUGAAUAGCGGACAGGGUUGAUAGUACCAGAAGAGGAAGGGACGGCUAACUUCGUGCCAGCAGCCGCGGUAA
rnacentral:rRNA from 1 species